ACGGCGAGUGAAGCGGGAAGAGCUCAAAUUUAAAAUCUGGCUUGCUUGCAAGUCCGAGUUGUAGUCUGAAGAAACGUUUUCCAUGAAAGCUGAGGCACAAGUCCUUUGGAACAGGGCAUCAUAGAGGGUGAGAAUCCCGUCCAUGGUCUCAUGCAUUUCAUUUUGUGAUACGUUUUCUAAGAGUCAGGUUGUUUGGGAAUGCAGCCUAAAAUGGGUGGUAAAUUUCAUCUAAAGCUAAAUAUUGGCGAGAGACCGAUAGCGAACAAGUACCGUGAGGGAAAGAUGAAAAGAACUUUGAAAAGAGAGUUAAAAAGUACGUGAAAUUGUUGAAAGGGAACCGUUUGAAGCCAGUCUUGCUUACUUGUGAUCAAUCUUAGCUUCGGCUUGGAUGCACUCUCGAGUUAUGCAGGUCAACGUCAGUUUGAGAGGUGGGAAAAAAGUUUGAGGAAUGUGGCCUUCGGGUGUUAUAGCCUCUUACUAAAUACCAUCUCCUGGACUGAGGCUCGCAGCAAAAAUGUGGGUUGGUUUGCUCCUGAGGUGAAUCAUUAUUAAGACAGCUUGCUGACUUAGUUUUGUGGAUCUUCACGGUAGACCAGCUUCUAAUUUGCUUAGGUCGUUGACAUAAUGGCUUUAAAUGACCCGU
rnacentral:rRNA from 1 species